GGUUCACUUUAACACUGAGGCGUGAUGACGAGGCACUACGGUGCUGAAGUAACAAAUGCCCUGCUUCCAGGAAAAGCCUCUAAGCAUCAGGUAACAUCAAAUCGUACCCCAAACCGACACAGGUGGUCAGGUAGAGAAUACCAAGGCGCUUGAGAGAACUCGGGUGAAGGAACUAGGCAAAAUGGUGCCGUAACUUCGGGAGAAGGCACGCUGACACGUAGGUGAAGUGAUUUACUCACGGAGCUGAAGUCAGUCGAAGAUACCAGCUGGCUGCAACUGUUUAUUAAAAACACAGCACUGUGCAAACACGAAAGUGGACGUAUACGGUGUGACGCCUGCCCGGUGCCGGAAGGUUAAUUGAUGGGGUCAGCGCAAGCGAAGCUCCUGAUCGAAGCCCCGGUAAACGGCGGCCGUAACUAUAACGGUCCUAAGGUAGCGAAAUUCCUUGUCGGGUAAGUUCCGACCUGCACGAAUGGCGUAAUGAUGGCCAGGCUGUCUCCACCCGAGACUCAGUGAAAUUGAACUCGCUGUGAAGAUGCAGUGUACCCGCGGCAAGACGGAAAGACCCCGUGAACCUUUACUAUAGCUUGACACUGAACAUUGAGCCUUGAUGUGUAGGAUAGGUGGGAGGCUUUGAAGUGUGGACGCCAGUCUGCAUGGAGCCGACCUUGAAAUACCACCCUUUAAUGUUUGAUGUUCUAACGUGGACCCGUUACCCGGGUUGCGGACAGUGUCUGGUGGGUAGUUUGACUGGGGCGGUCUCCUCCUAAAGAGUAACGGAGGAGCACGAAGGUUGGCUAAUCCUGGUCGGACAUCAGGAGGUUAGUGCAAUGGCAUAAGCCAGCUUGACUGCGAGCGUGACGGCGCGAGCAGGUGCGAAAGCAGGUCAUAGUGAUCCGGUGGUUCUGAAUGGAAGGGCCAUCGCUCAACGGAUAAAAGGUACUCCGGGGAUAACAGGCUGAUACCGCCCAAGAGUUCAUAUCGACGGCGGUGUUUGGCACCUCGAUGUCGGCUCAUCACAUCCUGGGGCUGAAGUAGGUCCCAAGGGUAUGGCUGUUCGCCAUUUAAAGUGGUACGCGAGCUGGGUUUAGAACGUCGUGAGACAGUUCGGUCCCUAUCUGCCGUGGGCGCUGGAGAACUGAGGGGGGCUGCUCCUAGUACGAGAGGACCGGAGUGGACGCAUCACUGGUGUUCGGGUUGUCAUGCCAAUGGCACUGCCCGGUAGCUAAAUGCGGAAGAGAUAAGUGCUGAAAGCAUCUAAGCACGAAACUUGCCCCGAGAUGAGUUCUCCCUGAGACUUUAGGUCUCCUGAAGGAACGUUGAAGACGACGACGUUGAUAGGCCGGGUGUGUAAGCGCAGCGAUGCGUUGAGCUAACCGGUACUAAUGAACCGUGAGGCUUAACCUUACAA
rnacentral:rRNA from 1 species